rnacentral:rRNA from 1 species
GACGAACCGUGCGAGCGUUGUUCGGAAUCACUGGGCUUAAAGGGCGCGUAGGCGGGCUGUCAAGUCCGGGGUGAAAUCCUCCCGCUCAACGGGAGAACGGCCUCGGAUACUGACGAUCUCGAGGGGGAUAGGGGCACGCGGAACUGUGGGUGGAGCGGUGAAAUGCGUUGAUAUCCAUAGGAACUCCGGUGGCGAAGGCGGCGUACUGGAUCCCUUCUGACGCUGAGGCGCGAAAGCCAGGGGAGCAAACGGG